rnacentral:rRNA from 1 species
GUAGGUGGCAAGCGUUGUCCGGAAUUAUUGGGCGUAAAGCGCGCGCAGGGCGGUUCUUUAAGUCUGAUGUGAAAGCCCACGGCUCAACCGUGGAGGGUCAUUGGAAACUGGAGAACUUGAGUACAGAAGAGGAAAGCGGAAUUCCACGUGUAGCGGUGAAAUGCGUAGGGAUGUGGAGGAACACCAGUGGCGAAGGCGGCUUUCUGGUCUGUAACUGACGCUGAGGCGCGAAAGCGUGGGGAGCAAACAGGAUUAGAUACCCUGGUAGUCCACGCCGUAAACGAUGAGUGCUAAGUGUUAGGGGGUUUCCGCCCCUUAGUGCUGCAGCUAACGCAUUAAGCACUCCGCCUGGGGAGUACGGCCGCAAGGCUA